rnacentral:rRNA from 1 species
GCACAAGCGGUGGAUUAUGUGGAUUAAUUCGAUGCAACGCGAAAACCUUACCUACCCUUGACAUGCUAGGAACUUGCCAGAGAUGGCUUGGUGCCCGAAAGGGAACCUAGACACAGGUGCUGCAUGACUGUCGUCAGCUCGUGUCGUGAGAUGUUGGGUUAAGUCCCGCAACGAGCGCAACCCUUGUCAUUAAUUGCCAUCAUUCAGUUGGGCACUUUAAUGAGACUGCCGGUGACAAACCGGAGGAAGGUGGGGAUGACGUCAAGUCCUCAUGGCCCUUAUGGGUAGGGCUUCACACGUCAUACAAUGGUCGGUACAGAGGGUUGCCAAGCCGCGAGGUGGAGCCAAUCCCUUAAAGCCGAUCGUAGUCCGGAUCGUAGUCUGCAACUCGACUACGUGAAGUCGGAAUCGCUAGUAAUCGGCGGAUCAGCCAUGCCGCGGUCGAAUACGUUCCCGGGCCUU